GAUGAACGCUGGCGGCGUGCCUAAUACAUGCAAGUUGAGCGAACAGACGAGGAGCUUGCUCCUCUGACGUUAGCGGCGGACGGGUGAGUAACACGUGGAUAACCUACCUAUAAGACUGGGAUAACUUCGGGAAACCGGAGCUAAUACCGGAUAAUAUAUUGAACCGCAUGGUUCAAUAGUGAAAGACGGUUUUGCUGUCACUUAUAGAUGGAUCCGCGCCGCAUUAGCUAGUUGGUAAGGUAACGGCUUACCAAGGCAACGAUGCGUAGCCGACCUGAGAGGGUGAUCGGCCACACUGGAACUGAGACACGGUCCAGACUCCUACGGGAGGCAGCAGUAGGGAAUCUUCCGCAAUGGGCGAAAGCCUGACGGAGCAACGCCGCGUGAGUGAUGAAGGUCUUCGGAUCGUAAAACUCUGUUAUUAGGGAAGAACAAAUGUGUAAGUAACUAUGCACGUCUUGACGGUACCUAAUCAGAAAGCAACGGCUAACUACGUG
rnacentral:rRNA from 1 species